rnacentral:rRNA from 1 species
AGGUAGGAAUACCCGCUGAACUA